AGAGUUUGAUCCUGGCUCAGAAUCAACGCUGGCGGCGUGCCUAACACAUGCAAGUCGCACGAGAAAGGGGAGCAAUCCCUGAGUAAAGUGGCGCACGGGUGAGUAACACGUGAAUCAUCUACCUCCGAGUGGGGAAUAACCUAGAGAAAUCUGGGCUAAUACCGCAUAACACUUACGAGUCAAAGCAGCAAUGCGCUUGGAGAGGAGUUCGCGGCCGAUUAGCUAGUUGGCGGGGUAAUGGCCCACCAAGGCGAUGAUCGGUAUCCGGCCUGAGAGGGCGCACGGACACACUGGAACUGAAACACGGUCCAGACUCCUACGGGAGGCAGCAGUGGGGAAUUUUGCGCAAUGGGGGAAACCCUGACGCAGCAACGCCGCGUGGAGGAUGAAAUAUCUUGGUAUGUAAACUCCUUUCGAUGGGGAAGAUUAUGACGGUACCCAUAGAAGAAGCCCCGGCUAACUUCGUGCCAGCAGCCGCGGUAAUACGAGGGGGGCAAGCGUUGUCCGGAUUUAUUGGGCGUAAAGGGUGCGUAGGCGGUUUGGCAAGUCUUAUGUGAAAUCUUCGGGCUCAACCCGAAGCCUGCAUAAGAAACUGCCGGGCUUGAGUAUGGGAGAGGUGAGUGGAAUUUCCGGUGUAGCGGUGAAAUGCGUAGAUAUCGGAAGGAACACCUGUGGCGAAAGCGGCUCACUGGACCAUAACUGACGCUGAUGCACGAAAGCUAGGGGAGCAAACAGGAUUAGAUACCCUAGUAGUCC
rnacentral:rRNA from 1 species